GAUGAACGCUGGCGGCGUGCCUAAUACAUGCAAGUCGAGCGAACGGACGAGAAGCUUGCUUUUCUGAUGUUAGCGGCGGACGGGUGAGUAACACGUGGAUAACCUACCUAUAAGACUGGGAUAACUUCGGGAAACCGGAGCUAAUACCGGAUAAUAUUUUGAACCGCAUGGUUCAAAAGUGAAAGACGGUCUUGCUGUCACUUAUAGAUGGAUCCGCGCUGCAUUAGCUAGUUGGUAAGGUAACGGCUUACCAAGGCAACGAUGCAUAGCCGACCUGAGAGGGUGAUCGGCCACACGGGAACUAAGACACGGUCCAGACUCCUACGGGAGGCAGCAGUAGGGAAUCUUCCGCAAUGGGCGAAAGCCUGACGGAGCAACGCCGCGUGAGUGAUGAAGGUCUUCGGAUCGUAAAACUCUGUUAUUAGGGAAGAACAUAUGUGUAAGUAACUGUGCACAUCUUGACGGUACCUAAUCAGAAAGCCACGGCUAACUACGU
rnacentral:rRNA from 1 species